GCCCAUGUAGCUCAGGGGUAGAGCACUCCCUUGGUAAGGGAGAGGCCGACAGUUCAAUUCUGUCCAUGGGCA
rfam:Snodgrassella alvi strain wkB12 wkB12_scaf004, whole genome shotgun sequence.